GGAUCAUUAUAGAGUUUUUAACUCCCAAACCCAUGUGAACCUACUAUUUUGUUGCCUCGGCGGGCUCUGCCUCCAUCUCGGAGCAGGUCCAAGCCCGCCGGUGGCCCAACUUAACUCUUGUAUUUUUGUUUUCUGAGAGUUAUUUUUAAAAUAAGUCAAAACUUUCAACAACGGAUCUCUUGGUUCUGGCAUCGAUGAAGAACGCAGCGAAAUGCGAUAAGUAAUGUGAAUUGCAGAAUUCAGUGAAUCAUCGAAUCUUUGAACGCACAUUGCGCCCAUUAGUAUUCUAGUGGGCAUGCCUAUUCGAGCGUCAUUUCAACCCUUAAGCUUAGCUUAGUGUUAGGAGCUUACAGUGAUGUAACUCCCUAAAGACAGUGGCAGAGCUAAAUCAACUCUCAGCGUAGUAAUUUUUUCUCGCUCUUGUAGUUGGCUUAGCGAUCGCCAUAAACCUUUAUUUUCUAAUGGUUGACCUC
rnacentral:rRNA from 1 species